rnacentral:rRNA from 1 species
GACGAACGCUGGCGGCACGCUUAACGCAUGCAAGUCGAACGAGAGAAGAGAAGCUUGCUUUUCUGAUCUAGUGGCGGACGGGUGAGUAACACGUGAGCAAUCUGCCUUUCAGAGGGGGAUACCGAUUGGAAACGAUCGUUAAUACCGCAUAACAUAAUUGAACCGCAUGAUUUGAUUAUCAAAGAUUUAUGGCUGAAAGAUGAGCUCGCGUCUGAUUAGCUAGUUGGUAAGGUAACGGCUUACCAAGGCGACGAUCAGUAGCCGGACUGAGAGGUUGAUCGGCCACAUUGGGACUGAGACACGGCCCAGACUCCUACGGGAGGCAGCAGUGGGGAAUAUUGCACAAUGGAGGAAACUCUGAUGCAGCGAUGCCGCGUGAGGGAAGAAGGUUUUAGGAUUGUAAACCUCUGUCUUGAGGGACGAAAAAAGACGGUACCUGAGGAGGAAGCUCCGGCUAACUACGUG